CUUUAUUUAUUUAAUUUGUACCUGCAAAGGACUAGCUUUAUUUUCAUCUGUUUUUACAUAUAUAUAGGUAAUUGCUCCUAAAAUAGUCUGGUCUUUGGUGAUUGUUUAUAAAAAGAAUUGCAAUAAAGGUAAUUAUGAUAUUUUUCAGUUAAUAACUUUUUAUUCCCUUGCGUUUUAUACUUUCACAUGCACUUACAGACGUAUGUGUUAAUUAAUGAGCCCAACAAAUACACCACUAAAGAGAAAAUUUAACAAAAUAAAUAAUUUCAUCAACAACAACAUUUUUACUAAUAGAAUUACAUUAAAAAAUAGUGGCAAUAAUAUAGACGUACAUCCAUACUUAUACAUAAAUGUGUGCGCGUGUGUUUGUGUGUGUGUGUGUGUGUAUGUGUGUGUGUGUGUGUAGUGAGCUGCCGCUCUUACUGCCUCUUCCGGCGACCCACACCCGCUCAGCAUCACCCAAAACCCCCAUAAAAAGCCCCCGCGACCAAUAUUAUCAGUUUGGACCAGGGCGCGAGCAUAAUGACGGAGGCACCGACGGAGACGCUGCAGAAGGUACUGCCUGACGGAGGCGCUGCAGGAGGAGGAUGGAGACGCCCUGGGCAUUUUUCAACAUAUCGAGGAGAUUUGGUCUAAGCUAUCCAUGCUUCGAUGUCCCGAUGUCCCACUCGAGGCCUGUGAAGGAUGACGUUGGGAGGUCGCUCUCAUGGGUACGGGCAUAACAAGAUGGCGCCCAAGAUGGCGACAGACAAGGCCGAGGGAAAACUGACAACGGCCAUUUGGCGCCAAACCCCUCAGCUAGCCCACGGAUAUAUUUUUUAUCGUGUGUUUGAAUUUAUGUGUGUUUGUUCCUUUCUUUUAUUGUUUAUAUUAUUUUAUGUGCAUUUUUCUGUAUUAAACCUCCUUUUAUUUUUAAACUAAGGCAAUCUAUUGAUAAUAUUUUAAUAUUUUAAGAAACUCUCAUAGAAGGCAGACGACAAUUAACCAUGAAAUGAGUCUAGAUGCGCGAACAUCUCCUGGCGCACGACCUUGUUUGGAUAAAUAAGAUUGCCCAUUUUUACGUGUAUUUGUGUUGAACUUUUAUUUUUCCGGAGGUUUUAUUUAAUUGUGUUCUCGCUUUUGUUUUAAAUAAUAAUAGUAUUGAGCUUU